UACAGAGGGUGCGAGCGUUGUCCGGAAUCACUGGGCGUAAAGGGCGCGUAGGUGGCGGCCCAAGUCCAUGGUGAAAGCUCGAUGCUCAACAUCGAGUCGGCCACGGAUACUGGGUUGCUCGAGCACUGUAGGGGCAGAUGGAAUUCCGGGUGUAGCGGUGGAAUGCGUAGAGAUCCGGAAGAACACCGGUGGCGAAGGCGGUCUGCUGGGCAGUUGCUGACACUGAGGCGCGACAGCGUGGGAGCAA
rnacentral:rRNA from 1 species